rnacentral:rRNA from 1 species
AGUGGCGAACGGGUGAGUAAUACAUCGGAACGUAACCCUGAAGUGGGGGAGUAACGUAGCGAAAGUUACGCUAAUACCGCAUAUUCUGUGAGCAGGAAAGAGGGGGAUCGCAAGACCUCUUGCUUUAGGAGCGGCCGAUGUCGGAUUAGCUAGUUGGUGAGGUAAAGGCUCACCAAGGCGACGAUCCGUAGCGGGUCUGAGAGGAUGAUCCGCCACACUGGGACUGAGACACGGCCCCAGACUCCUACGGGAGGCAGCAGUGGGGAAUUUUGGACAAUGGGCGCAAGCCUGAUCCAGCCAUGCCGCGUGAGUGAAGAAGGCCUUCGGGUUGUAAAGCUCUUUCGGUGGGGAAGAAAUUGCUUCGGUUAAUACCUGGAGUAGAUGACGGUACCCGCAUAAGAAGCACCGGCUAACUACGUG